CACAUGUAGUGUGAAUAUAGGAUACAUUUCCCAAAAUGUGUUUCAUUCCUUAGUAGCUUGCAAAAUGGUGGUGUUGUUCAGAACACAUUUUGUGAAAUGCUACAGCCACCUGUCAGAUCCAAAAGAUAAUUCUGAUAGUGGUGUUAAAAAAAAAAAUGGAGUAAUGGAGUGAGGAACUAGACACAGCCCAACAAGAGUGGAGCAGGUGUCAAUGGGCAGGAAUGAUGGGCAAGUUCUGGUUGCCUAGUACCACAGAUUUGCCCGCCUUCCAUCUGGGCACCCAGAACUUCUGGCCAAGAGGUUUUAAAUACCCAGGGUGUGGCCCACCUGCUCCAUGUUGCUGGGAACGGCGGUAAAUGUCCCUGGAUAGACUGUGGUGGCCCAAGUUGGCUGACGGGAGGGGAACCCCAGCAGCCAGUGCCAAGCUGCUUUAGGAGCCCUCAGAGUGAGCCACAGGUGGCCUGCACCUGAGAGUGUCCUCAUCUCCCUAGUGACUUUCCAGGGCCAAACAGGCCCUCCCUCUAGCCAAGAUUCCAACCUUGGAUUCUGGCCUUGACAGCUCAAGCCAAUUCAGGGAUUUUUGGAUGUCCCUACAGCGGUUUUGAAAAAAAAAAAAUUACAAUCUUUAGCAUUGGAUCACCCAGCCAGUGGAUGUGGACGAAGGGCACAGGUAGCUGCCAAAGCUGUGAAGUGUAGGAGGCCUGGAGCAGUGAUACCGCCACCGUGCUGUCAUCUGACCUUCAAUUGCCUCCUUCCGGAGCAGGAGUGGGGAUUUCCUCGCUGGGCUCACCCAACCCGGUCGCAUCUUGUCCAGUGCAGCCAUGCCAACAAUACCGCUCCCUUCACCACCCUCUGAGGAGAUUUCGGCUCCUUCAUCCUUCAUCUCAGCUCUGCGCUCCUGCACCCCGACAGAACUCGCCAGGAAGUGGGGGCAGCGGAACCGGCGCCGCCUGCGCGACAGCGGGGGUGGAGGAGAUGGGGAGCGGGGAGGAGCGCCGCGGUGCCAGCCAGUGCGCUCGCAGGGGAGGCGGCUUGGGGUGGCUCUGGCUGGGAUCUAGUGUCUUUGGGGGAGGGGGAAGGGGGACAGUCGCUGUCGCAGCCCCGCCCACAUGGCGGAUCAUUCUACCCAGGGGUGCAGGUGCGGCGGCACCUGGCCGGCUGAUUUAAGGACCGACCCGCCUGGCCCGCCCCCGAGGCGCAGGUGGGUCACCACCUGUCAGCACACUCCAACCACCCUGUCCCGCCUUCGAGUUCUGAGUAUGAUCUGAAGACUGGAGCCUGGGCCGGGAAUGAGUAGUGGCCUCCAGGUGUGGUUGGGCCAAAGGGCAGCAGGGAGUGUGGGUUAAGAUCAGGGACGCUGGAGCCACACUGCCAGUUUUGAAAUGCAUUUCCCAGCCAUAUGACCUUCCGCAGGUCUCUCAGCCUCUCUGUGCCAGCUUCCUGUAAAGUGGGAAUAAUCACCAUGACUACCUCACGCAGUCCUUAUGAAAAUCCAUUAACUUACAAAAUGGCUGGGUCAGCACUUCAGGAAAACCUGGGAUCUUCUUUUCUGCUGACUUAUGAGAACAUUCAGUAUACAGUAGAAUGUCUGAUCAACAGUUCUGAGUCCUUUCACAUAAUUUAUCAUCCAAAUCCAGGCACAUCUGAGAGUGAAAAGGGCAUUAGGAACAUGCAAUUUUUGAAAUAUUUAUU